rnacentral:lncRNA from 1 species
AGCUCCUGCGCUGACAGGAGGCUCAGCUCCAACUCCCGGUAUGCCAUGCUACGACUGAUCGAUCUCUGUCAGGAUUUAAUUUUGGCUCCCUAUAUAUAUAGGUGAUCAGGUGGUGGCUUCAACUUGAAGCAUAAGCAGGUCCCGAUGUGCUUACAGGGGGAGAGGGUUUGAUCAACUAGAGCUAACAGUUAAUUGGCUAAAAUUUGUCAGUGGAAUUAGCUAGCUAACUAUUAACUAAUUUACUAAAAAUAGCUAAUAGUUGAACUAUUAGCUAGAGUGUUUGGAUUUCUCCAGCUAAUUUUAGGCAUUAACUAUUAACUUUAGCGCCUUCAAACACCCCUUAAAUAUGCUUAAAGGCUGGUUUGCAGUUUUUUGCUGAUGGAAUCUGAUUAGUUUUAUGAUGAAAAUAAAUAUACUUGCUACCCCUUUGGUAAUCAGGAGGUCACAUUAUUUUGAGUAGUGUGCAGCCAGAAUGUUUGAGCUUCGAGCAUCGAUUCCUCUUUGAAUUUUGAGAUAUAUGGAUCCUUUGGUAUGGUAUAUGGCCAUAUUUGCAUUAGGGAAGCAGUUCCAGAACAAUAUUCAGUUGCUACUUUUUAUAGUUAUGUUAUGAACUAGAAAGAUUUCAGAGACCAUGUAGAUAUCCGAAAUGGAUCUUUUUUGUUGCAACUGAAGGGAGUAACUUUUAAGGUUUUAGUUACUUUCUCAAAAAAAUUAAGACUCACUCUUCUGUUCAUGUUCACUGCAACUACAAAUUAGUAAUCUGGGGUGUAUUGCAAGAACAAUGUCCUUCUCGAAUACUCAAGAACAAUGUCCAUCAUGGAAUUUGCUACGUGACGAUGUGGUCCAGCUUGUUUGGUACACGAUCGAGGCCAUAUCUUUGUGUUCGCUUUAUGUAUAUGUUCCCUUUUAUUCCUCGGAUUAUUCACUUCUAUCUUGUUGUUGCAGGGUUCUGAGUCCUGGAUAAGUACCAUUUGUUUUAAACAGCUUUAGACCAUCACCUUUUGAUGUCUCCUUUUGUCUGUUAUUAUUUUCCUAUGAAUAUUUUUUUUGGGGGGGAAUACUAUUAAGUUUCCCACUAAUCUUUGAUAUCCUCUAAACCAAACGAUUUGUGACAGAUGUUUCUUGAGGUUAUUGAAUGAAUUGGUCUUGCACGGACAAGCAGCCCUGAAGCUCACCAGGAAGCGACAUUAUUUUGAGCUUCCAGCAUUGAUUUCUCUUUGAAUUUCGUGAUUCAUUGAUCCUUUCUAUUAGAAGAACAGUUUCGGAACAGUAUUCAGUCACUACUUUUUUACAAUUAUGUUAUGUACUAGAAAGGUUUCGGAGACCAUGAAGAUGUCCAAAAAUGGAUCUUUUUUUUUUGACGACUGAAGGAAGUAUCUUUUAAGGUUUUGUUGUUACUUUUUCAAAAAUUAAGAUUCACUCUUUUGUUUACUGAAACUACAAAAUAGUGAUAAAUAAGAGCUGUCACAAUAGCUUACAAAGCACAAGAAGCAAAACUCUCUGGCAUGUUUGGAAGAGGGUAGUUGCUCCAAAAAAAAUUUAAGAACUUUGAGGGGACAGGGGGCUACAAUGGACAGUAGACAGCCUUAGUGUCAUAUCUCCAACAGAUUGUGGAUGCGGAAAAUGUGCUUUAAUAUGCUUAAGGACUGGUUUGCAGUUUUUGCUGGUGGAAUCUGAUUAGUUUUAUGAUGAAAAUAAAUAUACUACUCCCUUUGGUCACCAGGAAAAUAAAUAUUCAGUUGCUACUCUUUAUUCCUCGGUUUAUUCGCGCGCUUCUCUCUUGUUGCUGCAGGGAACAGCUUUAGAGCCUCACCUAUUGAUAUAUCCUUUUGAUUGCGAUCAUUUUCCUAGGAAUUGUUUUUCCUGGAAUAUUAUUAAGAUUCCCACUAAUCUUUGAUAUCCUCGAAACCAAACGUGUUGUGACAGGUGUUUCUCGAUGUUAUUGAAUGAAUUGAUCUUGCAUGGACAAGCAGUCCUGAAGCUCAAUGCUUGAUGGAUCAGAUCGCUUAUGGAAUCUUGCUUGCUUGAUCGAUCACAAGGUAACUUAUGGAAUCGAUUCUUCUAAUAUUUACACUUGAUUAAUUUUUUGGAUGGAUCCUUAUCCAACUACACUUAGGCGCUUAUUGACAUCCUGCCAUGUCCUGGUCCUACAUGUUGAAGUUACUUCAUGAUCAUUCUGGUUCCUGGAAAAUUAUGCUCAAGGCAAUGGAUACUCAUCAUAGUACAUAGCAAGGGCACCUUGCAGCUGAUCUACAUUAUUUAGGCCCUGUUUGUUUGGGAUUAUAAUCUAGGUAGAUUAUAUAAUCCAAUGUAAAUAAGCUAGUGAGGAAACAAACAAGCAACUUAUCUGAUAAGAUUAUAUAAUCUAGCAAUUGAGAUUAUGAUAAUCUAUAAACUCAUCAAAAGGUGCUUAUUUCAGUUUAUUUUUUAUGAAAGACCCACUACACAUGGCAAGUUGAUUAAAAUUACUUCCAAUUGCCAUCCACCUGUCUAUAGACGUUC